GACGAACGCUGGCGGCGUGCUUAACACAUGCAAGUCGAACGGAGUUGAGGAGCUUGCUCCUCAACUUAGUGGCGAACGGGUGAGUAACGCGUGAGAAACCUGCCUUUCAGUGGGGGACAACAGUUGGAAACGACUGCUAAUACCGCAUAAUGUUAUUUGGGGGCAUCCCUGAAUAACCAAAGCUUUAUGUGCUGAAAGAUGGUCUCGCGUCUGAUUAGCUAGUUGGUAAGGUAACGGCUUACCAAGGCGACGAUCAGUAGCCGGCCUGAGAGGGUGAUCGGCCACAUUGGGACUGAGACACGGCCCAAACUCCUACGGGAGGCAGCAGUGGGGAAUAUUGCACAAUGGGGGAAACCCUGAUGCAGCAACGCCGCGUGAAGGAUGACGUAUUUCGGUAUGUAAACUUCUAUCAGCAAGGAAGAUGAUGACGGUACUUGACUAAGAAGCCCCGGCUAACUACGUG
rnacentral:rRNA from 1 species